rnacentral:rRNA from 1 species
UACAGAGGUUUCAAGCGUUGUUCGGAUUCAUUGGGCGUAAAGGGUGCGCAGGCGGCGCGGUAAGUCGGGUGUGAAAUCUCGGAGCUUAACUCCGAAACUGCAUUCGAUACUGCCGUGCUUGAGGACUGGAGAGGAUACUGGAAUUUACGGUGUAGCGGUGAAAUGCGUAGAUAUCGUAAGGAAGACCAGAGGCGAAGGCGGGUCUCUGGACAGUUCCUGACGCUGAGGAGCGAAAGCGUGGGGAGCGAACAGG